UGAAAGUGACUGUUAAAACUUGAGCACUGAGCUGACCUGCACUUUGGCUGAUGGCAGUAGCUGAUGAUAUGCGAGAGUGUUUAUGGUAAACCGCCUUCUUUGCAUACCAAGAAGUUGCAACAGAGAUAAACAAAUUGCUACAAAUGACAAAGUGGGAUGGAUCUCAAGCCAUCAGGCAAGAGAGAAGUGAGAUGUUGAAGAUAACUUUAUCCCUGCAGAUUGGAAAAGAGUUGAGUGGUGUUAGUGGCGAGAGCAGGAUACCGGAACUGAAGAAUGAAUGGGCUGAUGCAGCAGGGUGGACCCUUUGCCUCGUGUGGAAGAAAACCGUGUGCAGAGUGAAGUUUUCGUCCACCUUCCCAGAAGAGUAACAGUCUGAAAUUUGCUGUUCCAAUGAAACACGGACUAAGAAGAACUGGAAAAGAAAGAUACAGCUCAAGUGGACAGAAAGACCAGCAAGACCAGCUCUUCGUGAACAUGACUUAGCAGCCUCGUGUCAAAGCCAGAGCUGCCUUCCCUUCAUGGAACUACUCACUAAAGGAGGAGCAGAGGAUUCAGCACACGACUGCAUGAGCAGCACAGCGCACCCUACAAGCUCCUUUUUAUGGGACAAGUUUUCCCACUUCCGCUGGAGGGCUGUCUCUGUGCACGGCCAGGCUCAGCCAACAACUGCUUCAGGAUCCCUGUUUGAACCACAGGGCUGAGACCUCCAUCUCGCUCAGGACUGAGCAGACGCCUCAGAAAAGGCACCUUCCUCCCCACAGAACUGCCCUGGCAGCCAGGUACGAGCGCAGGGCCCGCACAGGGAAGUACUGCGGCGAUACAAGGCGUAUUCGCUGAAUGCCUUAACCAGCAGUACUAGCCAGAGCUUUUCUUUUCAGUUUAAACUGUUGAUAACAUCUUACCUUUCUUCUGUAUGCCGGCUGGUCCUGCAGGGGAACGCUUCCUCUCCCCCACCCCCCAGCCCCUCUAAAUCUAUUUAAGGUGAAACAAAAAGGGGGGAAGGGGACAAAAAGAAACGAGAGUGUAGCCAACCUUUUUAAUUAGAGUAUAUUGUACUUCCAAACUGGAUACACUAGAAAUUGGCAAUGCAACAUAAGAUGCAAAGGAAUAUACCAGUUACUGUCAAAAUGACCCUGUACAGCCUUAUAAUGCAAAAAGCUUUAUACAAUACAAAUUUUUAUUAAUGUACACAAACCUUGACAGAUUGAUAUUUGAACAUAAUACAACAAGUAAAAAAUAAAAAGACAGAAGAAAGAAAAAAAAAGUGCUGAGAACUUUAACUGAAUUACUGAAUGGAGAAACAUGCUAGCUUUCAUUAAAGAAUGCAUAGUGAAAACCAGUAUGAAAUUUGCUUUAUGGUGGGGGGAAUUUAUCAGAACUGUUGGUCUUUAGGUAGGAGAAGAUUCCUUUCUUUAGCCUUGAACU